rnacentral:rRNA from 1 species
CCUACGGGAGGCAGCAGUGAGGAAUAUUGGUCAAUGGACGCGAGUCUGAACCAGCCAAGUAGCGUGAAGGAUGACUGCCCUAUGGGUUGUAAACUUCUUUUAUAUGGGAAUAAAAUGUUCCACGUGUGGGAUUUUGUAUGUACCAUAUGAAUAAGGAUCGGCUAACUCCGUGCCAGCAGCCGCGGUAAUACGGAGGAUCCGAGCGUUAUCCGGAUUUAUUGGGUUUAAAGGGAGCGUAGGUGGAUUGUUAAGUCAGUUGUGAAAGUUUGCGGCUCAACCGUAAAAUUGCAGUUGAUACUGGCAGUCUUGAGUACAGUAGAGGUGGGCGGAAUUCGUGGUGUAGCGGUGAAAUGCUUAGAUAUCACGAAGAACUCCGAUUGCGAAGGCAGCUUACUGGACUGCAACUGACACUGAGGCUCGAAAGUGUGGGUGUCAAACAGGAUUAGAUACCCGAGUAGUC